rnacentral:rRNA from 1 species
AACGAACGCUGGCGGCGUGUUUAAGACAUGCAAGUCGCACGGGAUAAGACAUGUAGUAAUACUUGUUUUAUUUAGUGGCGCACGGGUGAGUAACACGUGAAUUACAUGCCCUAUAGUGGGGAAUAGCCCAGGGAAACUUGGAUUAAUACCCCAUGGUAUCGAAAGAUUAAAGGUGGCCGCAAGGCUGUCGCUAUAGGAUUGGUUCGCGCCCUAUCAGCUUGUUGGUGAGGUAACGGCUCACCAAGGCAAUGACGGGUACCUGGUCUGAGAGGUCGAUCAGGCACACUGGAACUGAGACACGGUCCAGACACCUACGGUUGGCAGCAGUCGAGAAUAAUUCACAAUGGGGGCAGCCCUGAUGGUGCAACGCCGCGUGGAGGAUGACGGUCUUCGGAUUGUAAACUCCUGUCAUCUGGGAGAAAGACCUGACGGUAAAUAGCCGGCAGGGUUGAUAGUACCAGAAGAGGAAGGGACGGCUAACUUCGUGCCAGCCGCCGCCGUAA